rnacentral:rRNA from 1 species
UGGUGCAUGGUUGUCGUCAGCUCGUGUCGUGAGAUGUUGGUUAAGUCCCGCAACGAGCGCAACCCCUACGUUUAGUUGCUAACGCGUGAAGGCGAGCACUCUAGACGAACUGCCGUUGACAAAACGGAGGAAGGUGGGGAUGACGUCAAAUCAUCAUGCCCCUUAUGUUCUGGGCUACACACGUGCUACAAUGGCCGGUACAGACGGACGCAAAGCCGCGAGGUGGAGCAAAUCCUAAAAAGCCGGUCUCAGUUCGGAUUGCAGGCUGCAAUUCGCCUGCAUGAAGUCGGAAUCGCUAGUAAUCGCAGGUCAGCAUACUGCGGUGAAUACGUUCCCGGGCCUU